UUAAGUGACUAAGCGUACACGGUGGAUGCCUAGGCAGUCAGAGGCGAUGAAGGACGUACUAACUUGCGAUAAGCGCAGAUAAGGCAGUAAGAGCCGUUUGAGUCUGCGAUUUCCGAAUGGGGAAACCCAACUGCACAAGCAGUUACUGUUAACUGAAUACAUAGGUUAACAGAGCAAACCGGGGGAACUGAAACAUCUAAGUACCCCGAGGAGAAGAAAUCAACCGAGAUUCCGGUAGUAGCGGCGAGCGAACCUGGAUUAGCCCUUAAGCACUCGGUGAAGUAGGUGAACAAGCUGGAAAGCUUGGCGAUACAGGGUGAUAGCCCCGUAACCGACGCUUCAUCGAGCGUGAAAUCGAGUAGGGCGGGACACGUGAUAUCCUGUCUGAAUAUGGGGGGACCAUCCUCCAAGGCUAAAUACUCCUGACUGACCGAUAGUGAACCAGUACCGUGAGGGAAAGGCGAAAAGAACCCCUGUGAGGGGAGUGAAAUAGAACCUGAAACCGUGUACGUACAAGCAGUAGGAGCACCUUCGUGGUGUGACUGCGUACCUUUUGUAUAAUGGGUCAGCGACUUAUAUUCAGUGGCAAGGUUAACCGUAUAGGGGAGCCGUAGCGAAAGCGAGUCUUAACUGGGCGCUCAGUCUCUGGAUAUAGACCCGAAACCGGGUGAUCUAGCCAUGGGCAGGUUGAAGGUUGAGUAACAUCAACUGGAGGACCGAACCGACUAAUGUUGAAAAAUUAGCGGAUGACUUGUGGCUAGGGGUGAAAGGCCAAUCAAACUCGGAGAUAGCUGGUUCUCCCCGAAAGCUAUUUAGGUAGCGCCUCGGACGAAUACUACUGGGGGUAGAGCACUGUUAAGGCUAGGGGGUCAUCCCGACUUACCAACCCUUUGCAAACUCCGAAUACCAGUAAGUACUAUCCGGGAGACACACGGCGGGUGCUAACGUCCGUCGUGGAGAGGGAAACAACCCAGACCGCCAGCUAAGGUCCCAAAGUAUUGCUAAGUGGGAAACGAUGUGGGAAGGCUCAGACAGCUAGGAUGUUGGCUUAGAAGCAGCCAUCAUUUAAAGAAAGCGUAAUAGCUCACUAGUCGAGUCGGCCUGCGCGGAAGAUGUAACGGGGCUAAGCAAUACACCGAAGCUGCGGCAAUGCCUUUUAGGUAUUGGGUAGGGGAGCGUUCUGUAAGCCGUUGAAGGUGGUCUGUAAGGGCUGCUGGAGGUAUCAGAAGUGCGAAUGCUGACAUGAGUAACGACAAAGGGGGUGAAAAACCUCCUCGCCGGAAGACCAAGGGUUCCUGUCCAACGUUAAUCGGGGCAGGGUGAGUCGACCCCUAAGGUGAGGCCGAAAGGCGUAAUCGAUGGGAAACGGGUUAAUAUUCCCGUACUUCUGACUAUUGCGAUGGGGGGACGGAGAAGGCUAGGUGGGCCAGGCGACGGUUGUCCUGGUUCAAGUGCGUAGGCUUAAGAGUUAGGUAAAUCCGGCUCUUUAUAAGGCUGAGACACGACGUCGAGCUGCUACGGCAGUGAAGUCAUUGAUGCCAUGCUUCCAGGAAAAGCCUCUAAGCUUCAGAUAGUCAGGAAUCGUACCCCAAACCGACACAGGUGGUCGGGUAGAGAAUACCAAGGCGCUUGAGAGAACUCGGGUGAAGGAACUAGGCAAAAUGGUACCGUAACUUCGGGAGAAGGUACGCUCUUGAUGGUGAAGUCCCUUGCGGAUGGAGCUGACGAGAGUCGCAGAUACCAGGUGGCUGCAACUGUUUAUUAAAAACACAGCACUGUGCAAAAUCGCAAGAUGACGUAUACGGUGUGACGCCUGCCCGGUGCCGGAAGGUUAAUUGAUGGGGUUAGCGCAAGCGAAGCUCUUGAUCGAAGCCCCGGUAAACGGCGGCCGUAACUAUAACGGUCCUAAGGUAGCGAAAUUCCUUGUCGGGUAAGUUCCGACCUGCACGAAUGGCGUAAUGAUGGCCACGCUGUCUCCACCCGAGACUCAGUGAAAUUGAAAUCGCUGUGAAGAUGCAGUGUACCCGCGGCUAGACGGAAAGACCCCGUGAACCUUUACUACAGCUUGGCACUGAACAUUGAACCUACAUGUGUAGGAUAGGUGGGAGGCUAUGAAGACGUGACGC
rnacentral:rRNA from 1 species